GCUACACAUGCAGUCGAGCGGUAACAGGAAUUAGCUUGCUAAUUUGCUGACGAGCGGCGGACGGGUGAGUAAUGCCUAGGGAACUGCCCAGUCGAGGGGGAUAACAGUUGGAAACGACUGCUAAUACCGCAUACGCCCUACGGGGGAAAAGAGGGGACCUUCGGGCCUUCUGCGAUUGGAUGUACCUAGGUGGGAUUAGCUAGUUGGUGAGGUAAUGGCUCACCAAGGCGACGAUCCCUAGCUGUUCUGAGAGGAUGAUCAGCCACACUGGGACUGAGACACGGCCCAGACUCCUACGGGAGGCAGCAGUGGGGAAUAUUGCACAAUGGGCGCAAGCCUGAUGCAGCCAUGCCGCGUGUGUGAAGAAGGCCUUCGGGUUGUAAAGCACUUUCAGCGAGGAGGAAAGCUUAAGCGUUAAUAGCGUUUAGGUGUGACGUUACUCGCAGAAGAAGGACCGGCUAACUUCGUGCCAGCAGCCGCGGUAAUACGAGGGGUCCAAGCGUUAAUCGGAAUUACUGGGCGUAAAGCGUACGCAGGCGGUUUGUUAAGCGAGAUGUGAAAGCCCCGGGCUCAACCUGGGAACUGCAUUUCGAACUGGCAAACUAGAGUCUUGUAGAG
rnacentral:rRNA from 1 species